UGAGGAAUAUUGGACAAUGGGCGCAAGCCUGAUCCAGCAAUGCCGCGUGCAGGAUGAAGGCCUUCGGGUUGUAAACUGCUUUUGUACGGAGCGAAAAGGUCUGCCCUAAUACGGUGGGCUCAUGACGGUACCGUAAGAAUAAGCACCGGCUAACUACGUGCCAGCAGCCGCGGUAAUACGUAGGGUGCGAGCGUUAAUCGGAAUUACUGGGCGUAAAGCGUGCGCAGGCGGUUAUAUAAGACAGAUGUGAAAUCCCCGGGCUCAACCUGGGACCUGCAUUUGUGACUGUAUGGCUAGAGUACGGCAGAGGGGGAUGGAAUUCCGCGUGUAGCAGUGAAAUGCGUAGAUAUGCGGAGGAACACCGAUGGCGAAGGCAAUCCCCUGGGCCUGUACUGACGCUCAUGCACGAAAGCGCGGGGAGCAAACA
rnacentral:rRNA from 1 species